rnacentral:rRNA from 1 species
UAAGCACGAAACUUGCCCCGAGAUGAGUUCUCCCUGAGACUUAGAGUCUCCUGAAGGAACGUUGAAGACGACGACGUUGAUAGGCCGGGUGUGUAAGCGCAGCGAUGCGUUGAGCUAACCGGUACUAAUGAACCGUGAGGCUUAACCUUACAACGCCGAAGCUGUU